UUUGGGGAAUGGGGAGUUACUUGUUGUGGGGGAAGGGAAAAGGGGGAGUUAUCUGUUGUGGGGUAAGGGAAGGAGUCCAGGACUUGGUGGGGGCAGAGGGUGGACAAUUCAGAGAGUGGUUGGGCUGGAGCACCAACCAAUCACUCGACGCCUUGGAGAAAUGAUUGGUCCAAAAUGAACAUCGAUAAGGACCAAUCAAAGUGCCCGAAUUCCACCAAUCGGUGCACGGAUCCAAAACCCACCAAUCCUGGACCAGGGAUGCAUAUAAAAUGGGGGGUUUUCUGUUCAGUGGGAGGUUCUUUUUCUGUUCUGGUCAGUUCUGUUCAGUUCUGUUCGGUUCUUUUGUUCCUCCUUUGAGCUGUUGUGUGGGGAUCUGGGCUUAUCCCGGAUCCUCUGUUCUCCCUGGCUUGUGUUUUAAUAAACGAGAGCCUUUUUCUAUCCCUGAAAUUUGGCCUCGUUCGCUUUUUAUAACAUCUUGGGGACUCGCCCGGGAUCGGCCACGACCCUGAGGCGGUCCGGGGUAGCCUGGAACCCAGGGAGACGCGUCCAGCCACAUUUUUUUUGGCUGCCCGGAUCUGGGACUACGUCGGACCGAGGAGGGGGGCGCGCCGACUCCCGAGAUCGGAGGGAACAGCAGCAGCUCGAAAGAGAUCAGAAGAUUCAAGAAAAGAAACAGAGCAUUCUCCUAUGCAUCUAGCAAUCUGGCCCUAAAAAGAACAGAAGAAGCAAGUUGAUACAAAAAGGACAAAGUGAACUCCUGCCACUGUAACGGGAUAGAAGGAUAUCACUUAGGAGCACCCCUCUAUGAUGAAUUGGCCCGGAAAAAGAGGGACUUGUCUAUAGGAGGCGCACAACAAUGGGGAGAGGAAGAAUGGCCACCAGAACGCAUCAUUGCCACCUAUGGUCCAGCUACUUGGGCUCAAGAUGGCUCAUGGGGGUAUAGGACGCCUAUUUAUAUGUUAAACAGAAUCAUCAGAUUACAAGCCUUAUUAGAAAUCAUUUCCAACCAAUCCACAUUAACAAUAGACCUCCUUAAUGCUCAGGCAAGGCAGAUGAGAACCAUGAUAUAUCAAAACCGGCUAGCUUUAGAUUAUCUUCUAGCCAAAGAAGGAUGAGUAUGCGGGAAGUUUAACUCUUCGGAGUGUUGUAUUGAAAUAGAUGAUCACAGUGAAGUAAUUACCAAUAUCACGACUAACAUCCGGAAAUUAACCCAUGUCCCAGUCCAAAAGUGGACCCCAUUGAUACAAGCUGAUUGGGAAAAUUGGUGGAAUAACUUAUUAAAAGGUGAUUGGUGGAAGAAAUUAUUAAUUGUAUUAAGUGGUGCUCUAAUAAGUGUUAUUUUUCUUCCAUGUAUGAUCCCAUGCCUCAUCCGAGUCGUUACGAGAACUGUAAUCAACUUGAGCUCACCCUUAAAAGUGGAGAGAAAGAAAACAAUCCUAAAGACAUUUUAAUGCUACAAGAACGAGAGAUGGAAGCCAACUCAGUAGCAGAGACUGAAGAAUCAGCCAUAGAGACUUACAGGAGAUAUCAGAAAUUAAGACAAUUAUAUACCAUUGAAGAAGAAAUUGUUUAAAAAAAUUGUUUAAAAACAGUUCGAAAUGAACUGUUGAAAAGACUGUUUGAAGAAACAA